rnacentral:rRNA from 1 species
CUGCUGCCUUCCGUAGGAGUCUGGGCCGUAUCUCAGUCCCAAUGUGGCCGUUCAUCCUCUCAGACCGGCUACUGAUCGCAGCCUUGGUGGGCCGUUACCCCGCCAACUAGCUAAUCAGACAUGAGCCCAUCCUUCAGCGAUAAAUCUUUGAUUUUAGGAAGAUGCCUUCCCAAAAUGUUAUGCGGUAUUAGCAGUCGUUUCCAACUGUUGUCCCCCUCUGAAGGGCAGGUUGCUCAUGCAUUA